CGUCAUGCAGUAGUGACCAUGAGGGGAAUUGGGCACUGCAACGAUUCAGUGCGAGAUCGGGGACGGCAACGUCCUUCUCCGGCGUCCAUCUCCAUCGCCGGUGGUGUUCUCUCUGAAAGAGGAAGAAGUCCAAGAAAGGAGAUGAAUGAAAAGAGGGAGCUUGCAUACUGAAGGGGGUGAUGGAGUAGACCUUCGCUCAGAUGUGAGAUCAAUUCGAGGAGGGGAUGAUCAUGCAGGAGGAGAAGAAGAGGGCGAGCUCAACGCUGCGGAGGAACAACACUAGAGUAUCUUCCAAGAUUCAGCCCUGUUUCUUGACAUUUUUUUUCUAUUUCGGAUGAAUUGUUCCUUAUUUCUUCUUUGGAGCUCCAUUGCUACAAAAAAAGGAGCAAUGCCCAGCCGUUUUCACUUGGUGGAGUUGGGAUGCUGCUACUGUAUUAGGAUGGUCAUCCCAUCAUUGUGAAUCUGCCCUGUUGCAGAAUAAGGCGCAGAAGGAAACCAGAAAGGGCAAAGCACAAGAAAGUGUGAAAAUAACAAGCCACACACUGUGAGCAACUAAGAAUCACUCCCAAAAAGAAGCACAAAUCAUUGAAGCCCAAGUAAUUGUGAUCUUAAUGCACAAUGUCAUUGACUUCCUGAUAGGGAGUAUAACGUUUUGUUAGAUUUCAAGUCCAUCAAACCACUGUCAUCAGGGCCGAUCAUACCUCUAAAUAGAAAGAAAUGUAAACCUUUGGAUUCAAUGAUCUUGCUAAAGGAUACAAAUGUGUCUUUUCUUAAAUGUAAGGUAUUUGAUGGCUCCAUUUGGUAAAAAAUUUCUUCCCCUGUUUCAUUACAUAAUUUGUAGAGAAAUCAUGGUGCUUAGCAUACUUCUCUUGCCUUCAAAGUUCAAUUUCUAAGACAAUGGAGAUGUCGUGCCUUGUUUUAUUAGGAAUGAUGCAUCCAGAAAAACGUUCUCAUAUUAUGGAACAGAGGGAAUAUUUGUGAUAUAUCCCUGUAGGCAACAGAUAAUGUUAGUUUCCAGUAGUGCCAAUUGGCUCCUAUCUGAACUUUAUUUUUGAGAUGCACUUCCAUGUCUGUGAGACCAAUUCCCUCUGUUCCAUAACAGACCUAUCUUUCACCAUAUUUGCUAUUAACUGUAGUUUUUCUACAUUCAGGGGAACAAUGUAUGCAAAGAGUGUGACAUCAUACACCUUCAGGUGAUGCCUGUAAGUUACCUGAAUAGUUUAGGACUUCCAUCAUUUUACUUUGACAAUAAUACUUCCUGAGUUCACAAAUUAUAUAAUAUGAAAACUUGCAACAUCCAAUGCUUUUAGUUGAACGCACAUUCCAUCAUAUAUUUCUAAGCUAACAUGUUAUCAUUUUUAUGGCAGGCGCACUGACCUAGAAUAGCGUAAGAAUGACCACUCAACUAGCUAGUGUUUGAAACUUCAAUUCCAUGUAGAGAUACCCAACCCAGCAAUUUGAAGUCUCUUUUUUCUAUACAAAUAAGUCUCCCUGGCUCCAUUUUAUUAAAAAUCAAAGCACAUCGAUUCUUAUUUCUUACAAUAUGUGCAGAGUACAGCAGUGUACUACGUUAGUAAAAAGAGGUAAACCUCGCCUGGAGUCCAAAACUACAAGAUGUCUGAUGACGAAAAGAUACACGCUCCUCGCACCAUAGCAGAUAGAUGAAUAUUAGCACACUGGUAUUGCCUCAUUUAGUCAGGCUGAUUUAUCAAAAGCGAAUGAUAUUGGAUUCUGUACCCCAUCAAUUAUGGAGUUAUGGUAUCAGUUUUUGUUCUAACUUCUCAUGAAUACACAUCAAUUAUGAAUUGAUUUUAUUAGCAAAUGGAUACUAGCCAGCAAUUUUAUUUCAGUUAUGAAGAUGAUGUUAUUAUUUUCUAAUGCAUGCUACCUGCUGAUCAGGUGGGUCCACCUCCAGUCACACAAGUAUUAUUUCUAAUGGUCGAAGAACUACAUCUUCAGUUUAAGCAGUAAGAGCCGUAUUCAGGUUAUAUACAUGAUCAGAGACAAUUUUAUUCAUGAUAUAGCCUGAUUUCAGACCGCGGUUCUUAAAUAUGGUUUGGCAAGAUUUAGGAAACAGAGUUUGGCCUUUUAUAUUUUUCAUUCAUACCAUGCAUCCGGCGUGUUAUGGGUUCAUGUGAUUCCGAUGAAUUUGGUACAUCCGAAAUCCAUCUGUGGUGUCUUUGAUUUCAACAUUGUUUCCAGUUUUAGGUUUGCGAAGCCUAUUAACCGUUCAAGUGUUAUAUGCAGGGCCGGGCCCAUAGUUGUACAGAAUGUGCGGCCCGCACAGGGCCCAUAAAUUCUAGGGGCCCCAAAUUUUUACAUAGGCUAUGUAUAGCUGCUCCUAGCCCUAAAAAUGUAUAGACGUUCCUGGGCGUUGGGCCAUGCACAGGCCGCUGCUCGAUCGGAAACAGGAUCGUGGGAUCUAUCGCAAAAGCCACUCGCGGUGCUACAGCCUACAGGAAUCCUGCCGCUGGCGACGGGCGACACAGCGAGUAGGCAACAGUUCCUCUCCUCUGGUCAAAACAAAAUCAAUCUCAUCCAGACUCCAGAGCGCCGGCGCAGUUCCUCUGGCUAUGCAAAUUCAGUUUAUGUGCUACAUGAAUCUUGUUGAUGACGUAUGAGCAGCUCAGUGAUUCAGUAUUGAUGAUUGUUGUCCAAAAUUCAUUUGUCUUGCUAUGCAAAUUCAGUUUACGUGAUGUCCAAAUGUCAGUGUUUUGUUGUCCAAAAAUUUAGUGUUGGUGUUAUCCGAAUUUCAGUUUAUAUGAUGUCUAAAUUUUAGUUUAUAUGCUGUCCAAAUUUUCAGUGUACUUCCCCUGCUAUUUUACUGCCAUUUAACAAAUGAUUUGCUGCCUUUUAUCAAGUGCUUCAAUGCACCAAGGUUGGCUUUAACCCUCUGUUCUCUUAUGUUUUCCUAGGCACCAAUGAGCUGGCCUUGUUGCAAGGAUGAAUCUGCUGAUCUCGUAAUCAAUGGAACAAAAGGUACUGAGUAUUUACUAUUUGUACUGAAAUACUACUAUUUUUUGUGAAUUACUGAAAUACUACUAUAUAUGAUUUGGGAAAAAUAAUCUGGUCUCUCAUUUAGCUUAGUCCACCUAUUUUUUUUCUUCGUAGCUCCAUCAUCAAAAGAUAAACCCCAUUUUAAAGUUUGGCACAGGGCCCCAAAUAUUACCGGCCCGGCCUUGGUUAUAUGUGCUUGUGUGUUGGUACACUUGUGAGAAAAUAUUCUGUUUGUCAGGUAUCUGUUCAAGCGGAUGAUGGUUUAUGUACGAGGGAUAGACAUUAACGUCUCCGUAUCUAUGGUGGGUACUAGUAAUGUUGAAUUGAAAUUUCAGGCUUUCUUUUUCUAGUAACCAGAAGCAAAAUUUAGGUUUUGGUGAGAAGAAAAGUGAACCUAAAGGGUGCAGUACUAUUAAUAGGAUACUAUAUGUUGGUUACAGCUCAUGGAUAGUAAUGUUUCAGUCGCUGGAGAGCUUGCUGAACAGAUGAAGUUGACGUAAAAUCUCUGGUCACCUGCAAAUUUAGCUCCUUGAAGAUCAAGUUCAGCAAUAGUCAGUUUCAAGUUUGGUAGUAUUCAGUUUUGUAAUACAGUAGUGAUUUCUGAAUUUUUCAUGCUGCUGGUUACUUAGGGCUAAGUAGCACUCAAUUGUGUCCAAACGAUUUUUAUUUGUAAUUGUGAGGAUGGUUUUUAUUAUGUGAGAUAAUUAGCAGAACCACAACACAGAA